GUCAGAGGCGAUAGAACGUUGAAUGAACCAGUUCCCAAUGGAUCACUGAAGUUACCCAACAUUGCGCGUGGUAGGCAUCCAGAUGACCAUCUGGACAAUCACAUGCUGCUGGCU
rnacentral:rRNA from 1 species